GUGAAGAACGUAGCGAAAUGCGAUAAUUAAUGUGAAUUGCAGAAUUCUGUGAAUCAUCGAGUCUUUGAACGCACAUUGCGCCUCAUGGCAUUCCGUGAGGCAUGCCCAUCUCAGCGUUAGAAAAUAUUCUCAAAUUUUAGUUUUGUGCUAAAAUUUGGAUCAUGUCAAAGAAGCUAUUACUAUUAUUGUGAUCGCUCUUUGGAAAUUGAUAGGUCUUUGAGUUGUUACUCAUAGAACGUGAUGAAUCUUUCUUCGUUCUAUUGUAAUUCACUCUGGUAGUCCUAAAACUUGUAUGCCUGUGGCAUAUCUUGUAAUUUGACCUGAGAUUGGGUAGGGAUACCCGCUGAACUUAAGCAUAUCAAUAAGCGGAGGA
rnacentral:misc_RNA from 1 species